CCCCUAGAUGUUCUGGGCCGCACGCGCGCUACACUGAACAGUUCAACAAGUCUUAACCUUGGCCGAUAGGUCUGGGUAAUCUUUGAACGCUGUUCGUGAUUGGGAUAGACCUUUGCAAUUAUGGGUCUUCAACGAGGAAUUCCUAGUAAACGCAAGUCAUCAGCUUGCAUUGAUUACGUCCCUGCCCUUUGUACACACCGCCCGUCGCACCUACCGAUUGAAUGGUCCGGUGAAUAAUUCGGACUGCGGCAUUGACCGGUUCCCGAUCGUUGCUGCGGAAAGUUUAGUGAACCUUAUCACUUAGAGGAAGGAGAAGUCGUAACA
rnacentral:rRNA from 1 species